UACAGAGGGUGCAAGCGUUUGUUCGGAAUUAUUGGGCGUAAAGAGCGUGUAGGCGGUUUGGUAGGUCCGUUGUGAAAACUCGAGGCUCAACCUCGAGACGCCGAUGGAAACCAUCAGACUAGAGUCCGGAAGAGGAGAGUGGAAUUCCUGGUGUAGCGGUGAAAUGCGCAGAUAUCAGGAAGAACACCCGUGGCUAAGGCGGCUCUCUAGUACGGUACUGACGCUGAGACGCGAAAGCGUGGGGAGCGAACAGG
rnacentral:rRNA from 1 species